AAUAUAGUGCCUGAUAUAAAAGGGUAGCUUUGAUAGAGCUAAUCAUGCAAAUUUUUGCCUAUAUUA
rnacentral:tRNA from 1 species